rnacentral:lncRNA from 1 species
CCCGAUUAAUCCUACGUGGGGAAGCAAUGCGCCUAGACAUCCAUUGUAUAUUUCCAGAGCUACAUUAAUAAGACAAUCAACCAAAACAUUGCCUUAAUAAGUACCUCAAAUUUGACGAACAUAUAUUAUGGUCUGUGCACCCAAAAAACUUGCAUAUCCAACAAUGAAAUCGCCACCAUAUGAUAUUAUUGCACUUGACUCGUACCUGGAGCUAAUGCUGAUUUGCCUUAUACCAAACCACCUUAGCGUAAUCCUUAGUCUUGUGUUCUCCAUCUUCUGAAACAUUGCUCCUAAAGUGGCAUUGUCUUCCAUUGCAAGGUCUCUGCAUUUAAAAUUCAGACAAAAUAUUACACUACAUUGGCGUACCCAAAAUUUCAAUCAAACGGGGUCAACUAUUAGACAUUGCAACGUCUCUGUGUAUGACAAAGUAACUUUUUUCUUUUUCCAUAAUGUAUACGGUUAAAACCGAUUAGUCCAUCGUACAGACUGGUCGGUAUGAUAAUACUUUGAUCAAAGGGUAGCUUCGUAAUAACAGGUCGAGGUUCGAAGUCAGGUCAUCAAGUUUCGAGUUCUAGGAUCGAUCAAUGAUAAGCUCGGUAUCAUUAUCGAGCUCGUAUCCAAAUCGAACUACGGGGCGAUGCGAAAUUAUCGAGCCUAAGAUGCAUAGAUCGACCGACACCGACCCCGAAGCAAUACCAGACUCCGAGUCAGAAUCGAGCUCGAGUCAAUAUCGAGCUCACAGACAAGAGUCGUUGCAACCACACUAGGAGAGAGAAUCCUGGCAGGAAUUAGGGAAAAGCUAGUUCCUCAUGGGUUCCCCAUUAUGCAUUUUUUAUUAUAUAAGUAGGAUCCCUCCACUAUAAAGUGGAUGAUUGUUGUUUUUGAACGGACAUUCACACAUUGUAACAAAAUAUUAUUCCUUAUAUUGAAUGAUCAAUCCUUUGAGCUCUCUUACUUCAUUUAUUUCCUCAUUUCAAUAGUUUUUAUCUUUCGUUCUUAUAGUCAAGAUUGGAUAUUUUUAUUUCUCUUUACGAUUUGUAUCAAGCUAUACCACAUACCCUUAGAACUACGCACAAAUUCAACUCUAUCCAAUUUUUUGGGUAAAUAGUUUGGCGUCCACCGUGGGGCUGAGGAUAACAGUGGUUGUUUGAUACAAACCUGCAAUACACACCAUUUUACGCUUGUCUUUCGAGUGUAUAUUUGGCUUUGGAUUAGCAAGUACAAACCCCCGAUUAAUGGCUUUACCUACCGACAACGAAGUCGUCCUUCAAAAUGAAACCAACAACUUGAUGCCCAGGGCCGGAAGGCCGCUUGUUGAUGUUGUUGAAGCUCGAGUCGAAGUACCACUAGACGUUAAUUCGCAUGUGGCCCUUGGGGUAAACCAACGUUCUGAACCUGAACAUAGCAUUCAUGGUGGUACUCGAUAUGCAGCCCGAGAUACCCAUAACAUUGAGGAAAAUGGCGUCAGCUUGCGUAUGAUUUUUGAAAUAUUGCAAGCCCAACAGGUAGCAAUAGCUCAGUUGCAGAGCCAAACCCAGCUACCGAGAAGGCCAGAGCCCAGACCAUCUCGAGAAGUUUCCCACAGAAUGAACCAGCCAUAGUGAGGUCAAAUGAGCAAGAAUCGGGGACUACUCCCGAAAUUGCGAAAAUACUCAAGGAUCUCACAAAGCGAGUCGAAGCCAACGAUAAAAAAGUAGAAACGUAUAACUCCAGGGUCGAUCAUAUCCUGGGGGCUCCACCAAUGAUAAAAGGGUUGUAUUCCAAAAAAUUCGUGUAAAAACUUUUUACCUCGAGCGUAGCCCCAAAACCAAUCCCCAAAAAAUUUCGUAUGCCUGAAAUUCCCAAAUAUAACGGAACGACCAACCCCAACGAACACGUCACCUCUUACACGUGUGCCAUCAAGGGUAGCGAUUUAGAAGACGAUGAAAUCGAAUAUGUGUUAAAAAAAUUCAGAGAGACCUUCUCGAAGGGAGCAAUGAUUUGGUAUCACAACCUACCACCGAAUUCCAUCUACUCAUUUGCCAUGUUAGCAGAUUAUUUUAUAAAGGCACAUGCCGGUGCCAUAAAAGUCGCAACAAGGAAAUCAGACUUUUUCAAAGUAAAACAAAGGGAUAAUGAAAUGCUGAGGGAGUUCGUGUCCCGAUUUCAAAUGGAACGCAUGGAAUUUCCACCGGUCACAGAUGAUUGGGCCGUUCAAGCUUUCACCCAAGGGUUGAACGAGCGAAGUUCGAUAGCAUCACGUCGGUUGAAAUAAAAUAUGAUCGAGUAUCCAAGAAUAACUUGGGCAGAUGUCCACAAUCGAUACGAAUCAAAAAUCAGGGCCGAAGACGACCAAUUAGGAGCUCAACCCGGAUUAGUACACCCAAACAGGUUGGCUAUAUCAGCUAUUAAAAACCAAAGGGACAUCAACAUAGAUCCAAGGUCGAACAGAGACGAUAUCAACCAUACAUUGCAGAUCGAAGGAACAAUGGUUCGGGACGCAAUUCCGUCCGGAACAAUCGAAGAAGUGAUCGAGGGCAGAAUUCUCGGGGACUUAUGAACAAGAGUGGUUUUGACAAAUAUGCCGACCCUAUAGGGGCACCUCAGUUAUUGGAAUAUAACUUCAACGUCGAUGCAUUGGGCAUUGUAUCGGCAAUCGGAAGAAUCAAAUACACUAGGUGGCCCAAACCCAUGCAAACCGAUCCUUCCCAGAGCAACCCAAAUUUGAUGUGCAAAUAUCAUGGUACGCAUGGCCACAAGACCGAGGAUUGCAAACAAUUAAGGGAAGAGGUAGCUCGUCUAUUCAAUGAGGGCCACCUUCGAGAGUUCCUCAGUGAUCGAGCCAAGAAUCACUUCAGAGAAAGGGAUGCCAACAGAAAAAAUGAGCAAGAGGAACCUCAACAUAUCAUUCAUAUGAUCAUCGGUGGGGUCGACACUCCACAGGGACCCGUACUCAAAUGCAAUAAGGUACCGACCACUGGGAUAAAAUGAACUCGAGAUUAUGUGCCAGAAGGAAUUUUAUCAUUCGACAACGAAGAAGCAGAAGGCAUUUCUCAGCCCCACAACGACGCUCUGGUAAUUUCUAUCCUAUUAAAUAAAGUUCAAGUUAAGCGUGUUUUAGUGGAUCCAGGUAGCUCUGCGGACAUCAUCCGAUCGAGGGUCGUGGAGCAGCUCGGUCUACAAAAUCAAGUCAUGCCCGCAGCUCGGGUCUUAAACGGCUUCAAUAUGGCCAGUGAAAUGACUAAAAGGGAGAUUAUUCUACCGGUGAAUGUGGAUGGGACCAUCCAAAGUACCAAGUUCCACGUAAUCGAAGGCGACAUGAGGUACAAUGCCCUACUUGGAAGGCCUUGGAUCCACAAUAUGAGAGUAGUACCCUCGACUCUCCACCAAGUAAUGAAAUUUCCGACGUCGGACAACGUGAAAAUAGUAUACGGGAAGCAAUAUGCUGCAAAGGAAAUGUUUGCAGUCGAUGAGGUAACACUGAUAUCAACACACUCAACCUUGAAAAGAUCGAGCAUUAAAGGUAAGCGAGAAGUCAAAUAGCAAUAACAACUGCCAAUCUCGACCGAAUCAGGGAAGCAGGAAAUGGAAGAAGAGGAGGAGGAUUUUCUGACUCCCCGAACUUUUAUCACCCCCGAAGAUUCUGAUGCUACCAAAAUAACGAUCGAGGAACUUGAACAAAUUAUAUUUAUCGAGCAUCUGCCCGAGAAAAAGGUAUACCUGGGAACGGGAUUGACCCCCGAACUCAGGAAAAAACUUAUUCAAUUUCUUAUUAAUAACAUAAAUUAUUUUGCUUGGACCUAUUUAGACAUGGCAGGAAUCCCACCGUCGAUAGCAACGCACCGGCUGAGCUUGGACCUUAGGUUCAAACCGGUGAAGCAAAAAAGAAGACCUCAGUCCGAGAUAAAGCACAUAUUUAUAAAGGACGGGGUAACUAAACUUCUCAAAAUAGGGUCGAUUCGGGAAGUAAAAUAUCCUGAAUGUUAGCCAAUAUAGUUGUAGUCCCUAAAAAGGGGAACAAACUUAGAAUGUGUGUAGAUUAUAAGGAUCUGAACAAGGCGUGCCCUAAAGAUUCUUUUCCACUGCCUAACAUCGAUCGCAUGAUCGAUGCCACAGCCGUCCACAAGAUUCUUACUUUUCUCGAUGCCUAUUCCGGGUACAAUCAAAUUCAAAUGAACCCGGAGGACCGAGAAAAGACCUCAUUUAUCACCAAAUACGAAACAUAUUGUUGUAAUGUGAUGCCCUUCGGGCUAAAAAAUGUAGGAGCUACUUACCAACACCUAGUGAAUAAAAUAUUCGAAGAACAAAUAGGUAAGUCAAUGGAAGUUUAUAUUAAUGACAUGCUAGUUAAGUUCCUACGUGCGGAGGACCAUUUGACUCAUUUGUAGGAGACGUUCGAGAUUUUAAAAAAAUACAACAUAAAGCUCAACCCCGAGAAAUGUGCUUUCGGGGUUAGAUCAGGCAAAUUCCUUGGCUUCAUGGUAUCUAAUCGGGGAAUCGAGAUCAACCCCGAUAAAAUCAAGUCCAUCGAAGACAUUACCAUCAUAGAUAGUGUGAAAGCAGUGCAAAAACUAACUGGACGGAUAGCUGUCUUAGGCCGGUUCAUUUCGAGGUCGUCGGAUUGAAGCCACAGAUUCUUCUCUCUACUAAAAAAGAAGAACGAUUUCGCCUGGACACCGGAAUGCCAACAGGCAUUAGAACAAUUGAAGCGAUACCUGUCGAGCCCACCACUGCUUCACACUCCGAAGGCAGAUGAGAAACUUUACUUAUACUUGGCGGUGUCAGAAAUCACAGUAAGUAGCGUCCUAGUUCGAGAAGAGCAAGGUACGGAAUUUCCUGUUUAUUAUGUAAGUCGGACCUUAGGAGAAGUAGAAAUUAGAUAUCCUCACUUAGAGAAAUUGGCACUUGCACUGAUAAGCGCCUCUAGAAAGUUAAGACCAUACUUUCAAUGUCACCCCAUAUGCGUUUUUACUACUUACCAACUUCGUAAUAUUUUGCACAAGCCCGAACUAUCGGGCCGAUUGGCCAAGUGGGUCAUCGAACUCAGUGGGUACAAUAUUGAAUAUCAACCCCGUACGGCCAUCAAGUCUCAAAAUUUAGCGGACUUCGUGCCGAUUUCACGCCAACCCUCGUACCUGAAGUUGAAAAAGAACUCUUGUCAAAAUUGGGUACAACAUCGGGGGUUUGGACCCUCUUCGUAGAUGGUGCUUCGAAUGCGAAGGGGUUCGGACUUGGCAUUGUGUUGAAACCCCCCGCGGGUGGCAUUAUUCGGAAAUCUAUCAAAACUUCUAGGUUGACUAAUAAUGAGGCCGAGUACGAGGCCAUGAUUGCAGGUCUCGAGCUAGCUAAAAGCUUGGGAGCAGAAGUCAUUGAAGCCAAAUGUGACUCUUUGCUAGUGGUAAACCAAAUAAACAAAACCUUUGAAGUUCGAGAAGACAAAAUGCAAAGGUAUUUGGACAAAUUACAGGUAACUUUGCACCGUUUCAAGGAAUGGACUUUACAACAUGUGCCUCUAGAACAAAACAGUAAGGCCGAUGCACUCGCAAAUUUGGGGUCAUCGGUCGAGAAAGACGAGAUCGACGCGGGGACUGUCGUUUAACUCGGGAUCCGUAAUCGAGGAGGUGCAUGCCGAUAUAAAUUCUACAAGCUUAACCUGUGAUUGGAGGAACAAGUAUAUUGAAUACUUGAAGAAUGGAAAACUCCCAUCGAACCCUAAAGAAUCAAGGGCCCUACGAACCAAAGCUGAUCGAUUCACGUUGGCUGAAGAUGGAACACUAUACAGAAGGAUGUUCGAUGGACUAUUGGCAAUAUGCUUAGGACCAGGAGACACCGAUUAUGUUUUACGAGAGGUCCAUGAAGGUACUUGUGGAAACCACUCCGGCGCCGAAUCACUGAUUCACAAAAUCAUCAGGGUAGGAUAGUACUGGAAUAGUAUGGAAAAAUACACUAAGGAGUUUGUUCGAAAAUGUGAUAAAUAUCAAAGGUUUGCACCGAUGAUCCAUCAACCCGGAGAGCAACUUCAUUCAGUACUAUCCCUAUGGCCAUUCAUGAAAUGGGGGAUGGAUAUCGUCGGCCCCCUACCAUCGGCCCCAGGUAAAGCUAAGUUCAUUUUAUUUAUGACUGACCAUUUCUCUAAAUGGGUUGAAGCACAGGCAUUCGAGAAAGUGAGAGAAAAAGAGGUUAUAGACUUCAUCUGGGAUCACAUCGUGUGUCGAUUUGUGAUACCCACAGAAAUAACAUGCGACAAUGGUAAGCAAUUUAUUGGCAGUAAAGUAACAAAAUUUCUCGAAGACCAUAAAAUAAAAAGGAUAUUGUCAACACCGUACCAUCCUAGUGGGAACGGACAGGCCGAAUCGACGAACAAGACUAUCAUCCAAAACUUGAAGAAAAGGUUUAACAAAGCUAAAGGGAAAUAGAGAGAAAUUCUGCCUGAGGUCCUUUGGGCAUAUCGAACAACAUCGAAAUCCAGUACGGGGGCAACUCCGUUUUCCUUAGUGUAUGGCUCCGAGGCCUUAAUUCCAGUCGGAGAACCCAGCCCAAGGUUUUGACAUACAUCGGAGGAAUCGAACCACGAGGCUAUGAAUACUAGCCUUGAAUUAUUGGAUGAAAAACGAGAAGUGGCACUUGUUCGAAUGGCUACACAAAAGCAACGAAUCGAAAGGUACUACAAUAGAAGAACCAAUCUCCGCCACUUCAGGGUAGGAAACUUAGUCCUAAGGAUGGUCACCAUCAACACUCGAGAUCCUACUGAAGGAAAGCUCGGCCCGAAUUGGGAAGGACCCUAUCAAGUCCUCGAUAUAGUCGGAAAAGAGUCUUAUAAACUCGGAACGAUGGAUGACAAACCAUUACCAAACAACUGGAACAUAUCUCUUCUCAAACGAUAUUAUUGUUAAGGUAUGAUUUUCUCCCUAUUUUCGUCCAUAUAUGUUCGACGCUAACACACUGCAGGAGUUCGACUAAAGACAUCGAGACCUCAGGUUUUAAAGUAUGCGUUACACUCUUUUUUUCUUAGAUAGGUUUUUAUCCCAACUGAGUUUUUCCAACGAGAUUUUUAACGAGGCAACAACUAUGUGCUACCUGAGGACAAUUUGACAGUAUUCGAGGUUGACUGUAUAUCCAAGGCCUCCUUACAGUCAACCUCGAAUACUGGGGACCUUACCACCAAAUAAAUUAAAUUCGAUACAAGAAAGUUAUUUCAUAUCAAAUUCAUGUCAGACACGGUCUCGAUAGAGAAAGGUGUAAGGGACAAAUGGUCAAAACGAACCAUGCCCGUAUAGUUUUGCUCGAUCCUGACACAAAAUACGAACACAUGUAUAAUGACUUGUAAAGGAAAAACUUCUUCUUUACCGAUAUAUCAUACUUUGAAAAGUUCGUUCUACUUCUUGAUUCAAACAGGCUUAAAGGCCGACCACUAUCGAGUUUGAGUAAUCACUUACUCGACCAUAAAUCCUACGGGCUACAAUACUUCGAGUUCGAGUUCAAGAAAACACUUACUCGACUAUUAAGCCUAAGGGCUAUCUUACUUCGAGUUCUAGGAAUCACUCACUCGACCAUAAAGCCUACGGACUGCAAUACUUUGAGUUUGAGCAAACACUCACUCGACUAUUAAGACUAAGGGCUAUCUUACUUCGAGUUCGAGCAAUCACUCAUUCGACCAUAAAGCCUACAGGCUGCAAUACUUCGAGUUCGAGUUUGAGUUCAAGCAAUCACUCACUCGACUAUUAAGUCUAAGGGCUAUCUUACUUCGAGUUCGAGCAAUCACUCACUCGACCAUAAAGCCUAAGGGCUGCAAUACUUUAAGUUCAAGCAAACACUCACUCGACUAUUAAGCCUAAGGACUAUCCUACUUCGAGUUCGAGCAAUCACUCGCUCGACCAUAAAGCCUACAGGCUGCAAUGCUUCAAGUUCGAGUUCAAGCAAACACUCACUCGACUAUUAAGACUAAGGUUAUCUUACUUCGAGUUCAAGCAAUCACUCAUUCGACCAUUAAGCCUACGAGCUGCAAUACUUCGAGUUCGAGCAAUCACUCACUCGACUAUUAAGCCUAAGGGAUACUUUACUAAAAGUUCGAGCAAACACUCACUCAACUAAAUCCUCAAACUUAUGAACAUUUUUAUAAGACACAAGUAAAAACAAAUCUUCACUAGGCAGAAAAGAAAACAUAGACAAAUUGGGAAAAGAAAAAACCUUUGUAUAUAUGUUUAUAAAACGUCCGAUCAGGACCUUACAUGAAAAGAUCAAAAUAAGAAAAACUCUAAUUAUCUAUGGGAGCAGUCUUUUUCUCCAUCGGGCUCCUCCGCACUCUGAGACCCGCUCUUGCUCCCAUCACCAUCAUCGUCAUCGUCAUCAUCAUCAUCGGAGGCUAAGGCCCCAGCAUCGGCUUCAAGAUCUUUUGCCUUUAUUAUCUCUUCAGUAAGAUCGAAGCCUCGAGCAUGGAUCUCCUCGAGGGUUUCCCUCCGAGAUUGGCAUUUGGCAAAUUUGGCAAUCCAAUGUGCUCGAGUUCGAGCGAUCUCGACUACUUCUCUCGUAUGCGACUGAACAGCCUUAUUAUCGGCCCGAUAAACAGCCAUAAAUGCGUCUGCAUCGGCCUUAGUCUUUUCAGCCUUGGCAAGUUCAAAAGCCAACCGAGCCUCGAGCUCCUCUGUUUUCCUUGCUUGAACCAAGAUUUUCUCCUUCAGACUCUAAAGUUAAUUUUCGGCCGAUGAUAAUUGGGCUCGAGCAGACUCUUUCUCUGCAGCAAAGCGGUCCAUAUUUCCUUUCUAUUUCAAGGACUCUGCCUUUAUCACAUUGACCUACUCACAGAGCUUCCCGAUCAUCUCAAGCUUCUGCUGCAGCUGCGAGACCCAAAGAUUAGCCAUCGUUCCAGUAUCAAGUCCAUAGACUUUUAAUAGUGUCAUUACCUGCUCGGACAUAUCGGUUUGAUCUUGGUGAGAUUUGGCCAACUCAGCUCGGAGGUCCUUGAUUUCUUUUCCCAUUUGCCCUAAGAGGAGUUUAAGGGCCUUCCUCUCCUUCGUGGCCCGUUGGAGAUCGGCCUCGUAUCGACGCAACUCAGCUCGGGAUCGAGAACAUGCUUCUCGAUGAGCUACCACAUCCUACAAAGAAAGAAGAAGCAAAGUAAGAAAAGAAAAAUAGACAUAAGAGAUAAUACCAAAAAAAUUUAAGGCUUACCUAAUUCAAAGCCUGCUGCACUCCGUGAAAAAGAUCUGAUGCAUCACUAGUGCCGGCAGCGUCCUCGACACCGGUAAACAGGUCACAAAAAGGAUCCUCUCCCUCAUGAGGCCUAUCAAGUUCGAGGGCCCCCCAAAGCUUGGGCUUCCUGAAUCGCCCCUUCGGAAAAAUCAGGGAAGGUGGGCGAGUCUUCGACUGCUACUGCCCCAAGUAAGUCACUUGGGGAAUUCUCUUCGGUAAGAAGAGAUUCGGGGAGAGCCCCUUCAGACAUAUCCCCCAUCUGUUGGCUUCGAUUGGAAGCAUCCUUGAUCUCCAACGACUCGGGGACUCUGCCCAAAAUUUUCUCCGAUGUAUCCUUAGUUCGAGGCGGAGCCUUAUAAACCACCAUCGAUCCAACUGCCUGUGGAACGUCGGUGGUCUUCUUCGAUUGGGCCACCAGUAUGGACUCGUCGUCUUCCACUUCCUCAUCUUUAUCCCUUAGAUGUUGAACCGAUUCUAAGGUCAAGGGGAUGGUAUUCUUUCUCGACUUACGAGUCGACCUUGCCUUCGAUUUUAGAUUUUCGGAAGUAGAGGCCCUUUUUCGGAAGUAGAGGCCCUUCUUCCUCGCCGGGUAGGGGCCUCAAAACUGCAUCUCUGCCUAGGCCCACACAUAAGAAAAUCGGUUGAAUAUGUGGAAAAUAUUUCGUUCGAACUCUCAAAACAUAAGAAAUAGGCUUACCAUGAUUUUUGGCCUCACAUCGGCCCUUUUCCAAAUCACGCCACGAACGUUCGGCGUAUGUAGAGGUCGAAGCCAGGGCCCGUACCCAGCUCUUAAGAUCGGGAACGGCACCGGCAUCCAAGGAACCGCUGCAUCACAAAAGAGAUAUCAGCAAGAAAGAAACAAAGAGAUAAGGCGAUAGGGAAUAAGCAGUAGAAUUACACUUACACUUCAUAUUCCAUUCUUUAGGGAAUGGCAUCUUUUCGGCUGGGAUCAGGUCCGAAGUCUUCACUCGAACGAACCUGCCCAUCCAACCUCGAUCCUUGUCCUCAUCUAUGCUCGAGAACAGUACCUUGGUAGCCCGGAGUUGAAGUUUUAUUAAUCCACCUCAAAAGAGGCGGGGACUAUACAAUCUAAUAAGAUGAUCGAGGGUGAAAGGCAUCCCCUCGAUCUUGUUUGCAAAUAAAUGGAUCAGGAUAACGAUCCGCCAAAAGGAAGGAUGAAUCUGACCUAGAGUUAUUCGGCAUUGACAACAAAAAUCGAUGAUAAUAGGAUCGAGAGGUCCUAAUGUAAAAGGGUAAGUAUACACACUAAGGAACCCUUCCACGUGGGUGGUAAUAUCUUCAUCGGGAGCGGGAAUUACCACUUUCUUGUUAUCCCAGUUGCAAUCUGUCUUUAACUGAGCAAGUUGAUUUUUGGUUAUCGAGCUCAAAUACCUCGAUACCGGCUCAUACCGACUGGGAACCAACGAGACCUUAUUGACUUUAAAAUCGGAGGUGAGAAGACAUGUUCCGGGAACAAACUCCUCAGGCCGUGGCUCCACCGGUGAUUUAUCGGCGGCGGGCUGUAAAGAAGAAGCCUCUUCAUUUUGAGGGAAGGUUUUUGAUGUUUUCACCAUUUUUUGAAUUUGGAAGAAAGAAAUAAAGAAAAUGUGGUGUUUCAAAGAGAGGUUUUGCAGUAAAAACCACAGAAGGAAAAUCUUGCACUUAAUUCAGAAGGUAUGAGAAAAUGCUUAGGAAAUUUUGAGAUUAGAAGAUGUAAAAGUUAUUAAUGGUGAAAGAAGGGGAUAUUUAUAGGCUGAGUAGUGGCUGUCCCAUAUCGGUAAUGGCCGACCACCGUCUGACACGCAUUAAAUACCUCGAUAAACUGAACCGAUGAGACAGCUAUCAUGUAUGUCAUGAUCGGAUUCGAUGCACACGUCAGUAUAUAUCUAAUCGUACCGUUAGAAAAUCAUAUCGUUUCUCAUUACAUUCUUCUCGAGAAAUGCGGGGACUAUCUGUAUACGGUCAAAACCGAUUAGUCCGUCGUACGGACUGGUCGGUAUGAUAAUACUUUGAUCAAAGGGCGGCUUCGUAAUACCAGGUCGAGGUCCGAAGUCAGGUCAUCAAGCUUCGAGUUCUAGGAACGAUCAAUGACAAGCUCGGUAUCAUUAUCGAGCUCGUAUCCAAAUCGAACUACGGGGCGAUGCAAAAUUAUCGAGCCUAAGAUGCAUAGAUCGACCGACACCGACCCUGAAUCAAUACCAGACUGCGAGUCAGAAUCGAGCUUGAGUCAAGAUCGAGAGCUCGAGUCAAGAUCGAGCUCACAGACAAGAGCCGUUGCAACUACACUAGGAGAGAGAAUCCUGGCAGGAAUUAGGGAAAAGCUAGUUCCUCAUGGAUUCCGCACUAUGUAUUUUUUUAUUAUAUCUAAAGUAGGAUCCCUCCACUAUAAAGGGGAUGAUUGUUAUUUUUGAACGGACAUUCGCACAUUGUAACAAAAGAUUAUUCCUUAUAUUGAAAGAUCAAUCCUUUGAGCUCUCUUACUUCAUUUAUUUUCUCAUUUCAACAGUUUUUAUCUUUCGUUCUUAUAGUCAAGAUUAGAUAUUUUUAUUUCUCUUUACGAUUUAUAUUAAGCUAUACUACAUACCCUUAGAACUACAUACAAAUUCAACUCUAUCUGAUUUUUUGGGUAAACACAUAAUACCCCGGAAAAGAUUGUUGUUUUGAGGUAGUUUAGCCUUAAUCUUAGAAACACAAACAGUUAGACAAAACAAUAUCAUUUUUGUCAUUGUUCCAUUAAAUUAUAUAGAUAUAACCAAUUAUAAGUCUUAGAAAUUUCCUUUAUAAGUCUCCAAUUUUAUAUUUUUAUAUUUUACUCUUAUAUGUAGUUAAUAACAAUAACAAUAUAGCAAUUUUGAAACACUGUAACAAAUUAAAAAUAAAUAAAAUAAACACACAAUUUACUAAAACAAUAACUAAAUAAAAUAAUAGGACUAACCUCGCCUCACAUAUGUUGAGGUUUUUAGAGUAUGUAAAACUC